CCUACGGGAGGCUGCAGUAGGGAAUCUUCCACAAUGGGCGAAAGCCUGAUGGAGCAACGCCGCGUGGGUGAAGAAGGUCUUCGGAUCGUAAAACCCUGUUGUUAGAGAAGAAAGUGCGUGAGAGUAACUGUUCACGUUUCGACGGUAUCUAACCAGAAAGCCACGGCUAACUACGUGCCAGCAGCCGCGGUAAUACGUAGGUGGCAAGCGUUAUCCGGAUUUAUUGGGCGUAAAGGGAACGCAGGCGGUCUUUUAAGUCUGAUGUGAAAGCCUUCGGCUUAACCGGAGUAGUGCAUUGGAAACUGGGAGACGUGAGUGCAGAAGAGGAGAGUGGAACUCCAUGUGUAGCGGUGAAAUGCGUAGAGAGAUGGAAGAACACCAGUGGCGAAAGCGGCUCUCUGGUCUGUAACUGACGCUGAGGUUCGAAAGCGUGGGUAGCAAACAGGAUUAGAUACCCGGGUAGUC
rnacentral:rRNA from 1 species